rnacentral:rRNA from 1 species
CAUGGGUAGACCUAUCUGGGGUUUGAUCCACGUCACUCCUGGUUUCAGGAGCACCCUUCAUAAUAAACCUAGAAAUUCAGUAUUAUAAAGUUUAAUAAAAAACAACUUUUAACAAUGGAUCUCUUGGUUCUCGCAUCGAUGAAGAACGUAGCAAAGUGCGAUAACUAGUGUGAAUUGCAUAUUCAGUGAAUCAUCGAGUCUUUGAACGCAGCUUGCACUCUAUGGUUUUUCUAUAGAGUACGCCUGCUAAGUAUCAUCACAAACCCACACAUAACAUUUGUUUAUGUGGUAAUGGGUCGCAUCGCUGUUUUAUUACAGUGAGCACCUAAAAUGUGUGUGAUUUUCUGUCUGGCUUGCUAGGCAGGAAUAUUACGCUGGUCUCAGGAUCUUUUUCUUUGGUUCGCCCAGGAAGUAAAGUACAAGAGUAUAAUCCAGCAACUUUCAAACUAUGAUCUGAAGUCAGGUGGGAUUACCCGCUGAACUUAAGCAUAUCAAUAAGCGGAGGAA